rnacentral:rRNA from 1 species
GAACUCGGCAAAUUAACACCGUAACUUCGGGAGAAGGUGUGCCCCGGUAGCGUGUAGAGACUUGCUCUCGAAGCGCGAUGGGGUUGCAGUGAAAUGGUGGCUGCGACUGUUUAAUAAAAACACAGCACUCUGCAAACACGAAAGUGGACGUAUAGGGUGUGACGCCUGCCCGGUGCCGGAAGGUUAAGUGAUGGGGUGCAAGCUCUUGAUCGAAGCCCCGGUAAACGGCGGCCGUAACAAUAACGGUCCUAAGGUAGCGAAAUUCCUUGUCGGGUAAGUUCCGACCUGCACGAAUGGCGUAACGAUGGCCACACAGUCUCCUCCUGGGACUCAGCGAAGUUGAAAUGUUUGUGAAGAUGCAAUCUACCCGCGGCUAGACGGAAAGACCCCAUGAACCUUUACUGUAGCUUUGCAUUGGACUUUGAACCGGUUUGUGUAGGAUAGGUGGGAGACUGUGAAGCCGGGACGCUAGUUUCGGUGGAGUCAACCUUGAAAUACCACCCUGAUUUGUUUGAGGUUCUAACCUUGGUCCGUGAAUCCGGAUCGGGGACCGUGCAUGGUAGGCAGUUUGACUGGGGCGGUCUCCUCCCAAAAGGUAACGGAGGAGUACGAAGGUACGCUUAGGGCGGUCGGACAUCGCCCACAAAGUGCAAUGGCAAAAGCGUGCUUGACUGCGAGACCCACAAGUCGAGCAGGUACGAAAGUAGGUCAUAGUGAUCCGGUGGUUCUGUAUGGAAGGGCCAUCGCUCAACGGAUAAAAGGUACUCUGGGGAUAACAGGCUAAUUCCUCCCAAGAGUUCAUAUCGACGGGGGAGUUUGGCACCUCGAUGUCGGCUCAUCACAUCCUGGGGCUGUAGUCGGUCCCAAGGGUAUGGCUGUUCGCCAUUUAAAGUGGUACGCGAGCUGGGUUUAAAACGUCGUGAGACAGUUUGGUCCCUAUCUGCCUUGGGCGCUGGAAAUUUGAAGGGGGCUGCUCCUAGUACGAGAGGACCGGAGUGGACGAACCUCUGGUGUACCGGUUAUGACGCCAGUCGUAUCGCCGGGUAGCUAAGUUCGGAAGAGAUAAACGCUGAAAGCAUCUAAGCGUGAAACUCGCCUUAAGAUAAGAUUUCCCGGAGUCUUGAACUCCCUGAAGGGUCGUCGAAGACCACGACGUUGAUAGGUCAGGUGUGGAAGCACAGCAAUGCGUUAAGCUAACUGAUACUAAUUGCCCGUGCGGCUUGAUCC